rnacentral:rRNA from 1 species
CACGUAGGGCGCGAGCGUUGUCCGGAAUUAUUGGGCGUAAAGAGCUCGUAGGCGGCCUGUUGCGUCCGCUGUGAAAGCCCGGGGCUUAACCCCGGGUCGGCAGUGGGUACGGGCAGACUAGAGUGCGGUAGGGGAGACUGGAAUUCCUGGUGUAGCGGUGAAAUGCGCAGAUAUCAGGAGGAACACCGGUGGCGAAGGCGGGUCUCUGGGCCGAUACUGACGCUGAGGAGCGAAAGCGUGGGGAGCGAACAGG